rnacentral:tRNA from 1 species
UCCCUAGUGGCUCAGUUGGUAAAGAAUCUGCCUACAGUGCAGGAGACCUGGUUCAAUCCCUGGCUUGGGAA